UAGUAGGCAGUGACAAGCAUAUAAGUAAUUUUUUCAACUUUGUUAGCGAGUAGAGUACGGUGAAAGUCUACACGAAAAAAUGAAACGGCAGCUUCGAGCCAAUGUUUUUCUUAAAGAGGUUUACAUGUGUAAACAAUCAGGGUGGAACCGCGGGUAAUGCACUCGUCCCUGGG
rnacentral:misc_RNA from 1 species